AGAGAAAGGAAGCACAGACAAAGCUUAGGACCACCAAGAGCAAACAAAGGAGCUUAAACUUUACCAAGUACUGAACGGGGGGAAAAGUUCAGAAAAACUGCAACGGUGCAACGUCUAACGUCUGUGGUUUUGGUUUUCUUCUAGAUGAGUGGGAAAGUGCUCAAUGAAGGGCAAAGACCGAAAGGUUGACAGUGUGAAGGAAGUGGUGUGGCCCUAACAUGCCGCCGUACUUAGGAGAUCUAUACUCCACCCCCACACUUUAAAAUCCCUCCUAGCAUGUGGCUGACCUAUUCCAUUUUCCAGCCUAGUAUCUCUGACCUUUCCCUUCACUUGCUUCCUCUUGUCUUUGCCUGCUCUAUGAAUAGGCUGAGCUAAAUUUACAUGGUAUGCCACUGCAAGGCUCCAAAGUCGAGGAAAAAUCCUCACAUGUUCAGCAGCCAUGCCACUCUGGAGGAGGAUUAACAAUGCAAACAGCCCUACUGGAUUAAAACCAUUUCUAAACGACAACUUGUUAGUUUCUCACGUAUCGAAAACAGAAACGCCACCACACUAACCACAGUCUCUGAUGCUCUGUCUGCUCACUCACAGCACCUAUUGAACCGUAACAAGCUGUUAUGUUCACUGUAUAGGGGCUAAAGAUAAAACAGAUUUGCAGGCAGAAGUACUGUGAUGAUGUUAUUCACCACACAUUAAAAGUCUUUGUAAUAAACAAGCGAAAAACUUGUACGAAGCAUGUCAGCUGCAGUAGUGAGCCUGAGGGUUGCAUGCAGCACACGUAUCUUUUUGCAGUCAACUCGCACUUACAAAAUGUGACAAUCGUCUGUUUUAUCUCUGAUUAUUCAAAAUAUUAAAUAAAAAGAGGAGAUUUUA